GAGUGUUUGCCCGAGUGGUUAAGGGGGUGGACUUAAUAUCCACUGGACCAGACUCGCGUGGGUUCGACUCCCAUAGUUCUCC
rnacentral:tRNA from 1 species